CAGCCGCCACGGGAAUACGAAGGGGGCUAGCGUUGCUCGGAAUUACUGGGCGUAAAGGGAGCGUAGGCGGACAUUUAAGUCAGGGGUGAAAUCCCGGGGCUCAACCUCGGAAUUGCCUUUGAUACUGGGUGUCUUGAGUAUGAGAGAGGUAUGUGGAACUCCGAGUGUAGAGGUGAAAUUCGUAGAUAUUCGGAAGAACACCAGUGGCGAAGGCGACAUACUGGCUCAUUACUGACGCUGAGGCUCGAAAGCGUGGGGAGCAAACAGGAUUAGAUACCCCCGUAGUCCCUGUCUCUUAUAC
rnacentral:rRNA from 1 species